GGAAGCCCAGUCUUGCUUGCCCUGCU
rnacentral:piRNA from 1 species